UCAGUCCUACGGGGGGCAGCAGUGAGGAAUAUUGGUCAAUGGUCGGGAGAUUGAACCAGCCAAGCCGCGUGAGGGAGGAAGGUACAGAGUAUCGUAAACCUCUUUUGUCAGGGAACAAAGACUGGGACGCGUCCCCGGAUGAGUGUACCUGAAGAAAAAGCAUCGGCUAACUCCGUGCCAGCAGCCGCGGUAAUACGGAGGAUGCGAGCGUUAUCCGGAUUUAUUGGGUUUAAAGGGUGCGCAGGCGGUCUGUUAAGUCAGCGGUCAAAGCCCGGGGCUCAACCCCGGCCCGCCGU
rnacentral:rRNA from 1 species